rnacentral:lncRNA from 1 species
CUCAUUUGUCCUUUAUGUACACUACAUACACAGAUAAGUAAAACAAAAUGCACAGAAAUAGAUGAUUCAUCUUGCCCCGCUGUAGGCAGGGUGGCAUAGAGCUCUCUGCACUUUCCCCUCUUCCCUCCUCCCCUGAACCAGCGCACAAACACAAUGAGUAUUACUCAACAGGUGAUUUGGCCAUUCCCCACCAAAGCAACAUUUUCUAUGAAUUGUAACAAAAAGAUACUUACAAAAUGUGUUUUUAUUACCUUUAAUUUUAACAUAUAUCAGGCACUUCAGAACAUCUAAAAAAACAGACAUUUCAAAAAAGCUUAGCAUUGUCAACUAUAUAUAAGGUAGUGAGGAAUAAAAUGCAUACAAAACUAUGGAUAGAAUAUGAAAGUGUCUUCUAAAUAUGACCAGUCUGUCAUAGAACCUUCUUCUCUUCCUUCUCAGGUCUUCCAGCUCCAUGUCAUCUAACCCACUGAACAAACGUGGAUGUAUCGCUUCCAGGGGCUGUCUAAUAACUCCAUUUCCAAAAAUCAUCUCCAGAAGACAUUUAUUUUGUACGACUUCCUUUAAACAAAUGAGAAUUUACAAGAUGUGACUUUCUAACUCUACUUUAUCAUACGUCAGGAACCUCUUUCCAUCUAGAAGGGCUAGAUGUGACAAAUGUUUUCUAUCAACAGGCUAGGGUGGAGUUGAGGGCAGGUUUUUCAUAUUGUAUACACAGGCCUUCCAUAAAUGGCCAGUAAAUCUUCCCAAAGGGUGGUGGGCAUUUCCAACGGGCCAAAAGUGGCCUGUCAUUCUACCAUUUCUCCCAACAGCAAGAUCUGGUAGAAGGAAGACCAGCCGCCCCAUGGCCCCUAACCUUCCACCCGUUUUUCGGGACUUCGCUCACCUCCCAGGCCCCUUAAGGCCUUUGUCGGUAUGUUAAGGCCUUUGUCUAGGUAGGUCUCGCCCAAUGGGGACAGAUCAGUCGCCCAGGGUUCCGGAUCUACGCAGCUCCGUGGCCUAAAGAGACAGCCGAGCCUGCGUGCGUCCCUAGGCCGCCUUCCGGUUCCGCCACGCCCUAACGGCUUCCAUCGCCUGGCGUUUGGGUGGCCGCCAUGCUUCCGGGCCCGCCACUCCCGCCGCCACCCAAAGACACUGCGUUCCGGCAGGCUUGGGCUGGGAGACCCGGUGUUGGGUGGGGUCCCGGCAGGGACAAGCCGCUGCCGCCAUCAGUCACCGAGGUGGGGUGGGGAUGAGAGGUUCGCCGCGGCUUCAAGACCUGGGUCCGGCCAGUGGGCAGCCACAUCGGAGGCCUCAGGAUUAUCAAUCACAGUCAUAUCUAUAAUGAAACUGGAAGAAAAACUACACAGAAAAGAAUUCAAAGUGAUUUGGCACUGCCUUCUGCUUGGCCCAUCUGCUGUUAUUUUUUUUCUCCUACUGGCAGAACGUUAGACAAUAUUUCAACUUAGCAUCUCAUAGGCAGUUAAACAACGGACAAGAGUGGGCUGGAGAAGAGGAAAUGAUACCAUGUUCUUUUAAGAAAAAAGAGGAAAAAGCCCACAAGAUGAACACUAUGGUGUAUAACCCUGUCAUGUCUUUUUAGCAAUGAACUUUGGAGCCCUGGAAACAAGUAGCCCUAAGUUACAACACUCAAUUUUAAAGGUCCAGCCUCUCUUGGUAUGUCAUGAAGUCUGAUAACCUGUGGAAUCCUGUUGCCUCUUAACAGGAUGCUAAGAGUGGCACAUUCCAGUCAGAGUUGAACAACAGUUUGAACUGCAAAGGUCCACCUGAUUUUUUUCUGCCUCUGCUACCUCUGAAACAGCAAGAUCAGCCCUUGCUCUUCCUUCUGCUCCUACUCAACAUGAAGGCACAAAGACGAAGACUUUAUAAUGAUCCAUUUUUACUUAAUAAGCAGUGAGGCACUGAAGGCAGGCUCCCACUAGUCUUUAAUGGAAAUAUUACAAAGUAGAAGUUAGGAAGAGAUGAAAAAAGAGGAGAAAAAGGAAAAAGAGGUGAUAAUGAAGAUGACAGAAGAAAGAUAAAGAAAAGGAGAAGGUCGUAGGUGAAGGAGGAAGCAGAGAAGACAAAAGGAGACAAUAAAAAAAGACAGAAACAGUUUGGGAAAUAUGUAAUAAAAAGGAAUAAGAAAAAGAGAGAAAU